AUGGGCGAUGGAUGCAGCGAGACGAAGACCUUUCUUCUUCCUUGUUGGUGUGUUGGAUUGAUGCCCAUGCCCCCUCAGCGUUGGUGUCAAGAAAGGAGGAAGCAGCGUGGCGGCAAUUGUACCAUGGUCGAAGAUGAUGACCUGUUUGCGACUGGUUGCAGAUCCUUUUGGUGCAGGGGUCUUCUCUCAAGAUUCAGGGAUGAUGACACUAGGCUCCGGAGAUCUUGUGUUAUGGUUGUCUUAAGAUACUCUAGGUGUUCAUGGUCCUUUGUGUUUGCAUUUCAGUGUGUUUGUAAGGGUCAAACUACUUUGUACUGA
rnacentral:rRNA from 1 species